CGGAGGGGGCGAGUGUUACUCAUGAUAAUUGGGCGUAAAGGGUAUGUAGGCGGUUUUUUAAGUUAGAAGUAAAAUCUUUUGGGAUACCAAAAAGUAAGUCUAAAACUGAAAAGCUAGAGUUAAAUAGGGAAAAGUGGUACGGGUAGUGGAAAGGUAAAAUUUUUAGAUAUUACAUGGACUAACGUUAGGCGAAGGCAACUUUUUUAUGUUUAACUGACGCUGAGGUACGAAAGCAUAGGGAGCAAACAGGAUUAGAUACCCUGGUAGUCUAUGCAGUAAACGAUGAGUGUUAAGUAUUCAAGUUUUUAAUUUGUAUAACAACAGCUAACGCGUAAAACACUCCGCCUGGGUACUACGGCUGCAAGGUUG
rnacentral:rRNA from 1 species